GAGUUGAUCUUGGCUCAGGACGAACGCUGGCGGCGCGCCUAACACAUGCAAGUCGAACGAGCGAGAGAGAGCUUGCUUUCUCGAGCGAGUGGCGAACGGGUGAGUAACGCGUGAGCAACCUGCCUCAAAGAGGGGGACAACAGUUGGAAACGACUGCUAAUACCGCAUAAGCCCACAGCUCGGCAUCGAGCAGAGGGAAAAGGAGCAAUCCGCUUUGAGAUGGCCUCGCGUCCGAUUAGCUGGUUGGUGAGGUAACGGCCCACCAAGGCGACGAUCGGUAGCCGGACUGAGAGGUUGAACGGCCACAUUGGGACUGAGACACGGCCCAGACUCCUACGGGAGGCAGCAGUGGGGGAUAUUGCACAAUGGGGGAAACCCUGAUGCAGCGACGCCGCGUGGAGGAAGAAGGUUUU
rnacentral:rRNA from 1 species